AUCUUGAAUGCAACCCUCGCUAGCAAGAACAGUCUCAACAAAACAUUAACUGAUUAGGCUAAUCAAGCAUCUUACAGAAUUAGGCUUAUCAAUCAUCUUCCAAUCGUCAUCUGCACAAAUUUGUCUAUCCAAACGAAUUCUAUCAACUAGAGGAAACAAAAUCGCACAACAUAGGCACUACAUCGGCUCAAACUAAACUAAGAAGAGGUAACAAGAUCAAUGAUAAAGCUCAAUUCAAAGCCGAAUAACAAAGUAAACAUUGGUUAAUCAAAUCCUCUCAAUAAACUAACCUAUACUGACUCGGCGUGAUCACCCAAGUUCUUAUACUCCGAAUUCGCUUUCGUUCUGCUUCAUAGCCAUGCUUCUUCUACCGCGGAUUUGAGAGAAGAAGAAGAAGAGAAAUCUGUCUAUUAAUUUAUUGUUUAUUAAUUAACAGAUUAAUAGAAGAAUUUUUUUUUAAUGUUCGAUCGAUUUUUGUCUUCCUCUUCCUCUCCCUCUCUCUGUCUCUCUCUCUCGAUCGAAGUCGCGAAGAUGUUGGGGUCGGAAGAUAUUUUUGAUGCUCGAUUGAUUUUUUUUUCUUUCUCUUCCCCUCCCUCUCUCUCUCGAUUGAACUCGGAGGAGAUUGAAUUCGGAUAUUGCCCAUCUCGGCUUUUUGAUUCCGGAUGCUUUGUCUCCAAAAGAAAUUGAUCCUGCAAGAGAAGCACUGCAAAAUGGCUGAUCUUGUACUCUGCUUGGGUACCAGGCAGCCGAUGUUUUGCGGAGACGUCAGGAAGAAGAGAAAAGCUCUGUAAUUCUGGUUGCAACUAUUGGUGUAAUCUAUAGGUGGUAUAAGACAUCUUCACAUCUGCUGCAAUAUUAGCUUUGAGAGGUUUGGGUUAGAGGAACGGUUGCAGCGAAGACAGGAGAGUUCGCUGCCAGUGUCAAUGACCAUGGAUAUGUUUGAGGAGGAGUGUCGACGGUGAGAGUAACGGUGAGAGUGACGUUGUGGUGGAAAUGGAGUUUGUCGGUGGGUCGAUGAUCCGUUGGAAUUAUUCGGGUCUUUAGAGGCAAAACAAGUGUUUGAGAUGAAGAAGAAGAGAACAGGAUGAGAAGUUUUUCAGUGAUGGCUUUGACUGAUAUUUUUCACUCUAGUUCAUGUUAUUCUCCUAAGGUUUGGUUUCUAAAUUGCAUCGAUUUCUUUUUCUAUUUAUGAAUAUAUUCAUGUGAUUUACUUGUCGGUAUGUUAUUUCAUGUUUGGAUGAUGUUUUUAUCGAUGAGAGUGAUGGCUUUGAUGGAAACGCUUCUUCUCUGUGCUACGUAUUCAUGGGUUUCGUUCUUCCUCUUCACAAUUCUUUUACUCUCUUUUUUUGUUCCUUACAUUCCUUUCUUCUUCUUCUUCUUCUUCUUGCAGGUGUUUUGGAAGCAACUAUGAUCGGAUCAUUGCUUCUUCUUCUUCAGGCUAAGUUUUUAGGAUUUCUCACAGGUUCCUUGUGAUUGUGGUUUUUCAUCUACUUUCUUCUAUGUCUAUGUUAUCUCCUUGGUGGUUUUUCUCUUUUCCUUGGAGAUAUGAUCAGUUUUGCUUCCCCUUUUCUCUUUUUGUCUUGCGGAUUUUGUGAUCUGCAUUUUUUCAAUGGUUUAAAAGCUAAUCACUUCUGUUUGGGAUCAGUCAAAGCCAUCACUGAUCAAUCGUAGAUGAAAAUGAGAACAGGAUGAGAAGUUUUUUAUAUUAUUGUAAGUUUGUGUGUUUCUUGCAAAACAAAACUGAGUAUAAACAUUUAUAAACAUAUAUCUGGAAUGCAAUAAUUUCUUAUUCUACUUUAAAUUUUUUAUUUUCAAAAACAAAAAAAAAAAAAAUUCAAAUUAAGAGACUCAAAGUUAAAACUUACCAUUGGAAGGCAAAAUUUUAGUUAGGAUUCCCAAAGUUCUUAUCCUACUAAAAGUACAAAAUAUAGUAAUUAAAAAUUUUAAGAGCUCCAAAAAAUAUAACUUCCAUUGUGGUGCCCUUAUAAAAGCUCCUUACAAGUUGCUUAAGUAUUAAAACAAAUUAAAUAUAAUAGUCACAGAUUAAUUUUGCAGGAUCGAUGGUUUACAUAAGAUAUUUUGCAUUCAUUUAGAAAAUUGAGUGUGUCAAGGUGUGAUUGGCUGGCGAGAAAAAAAGAUUUUUNUUUUUUUUUUUUUUUUUUGUUAUUGCUCGUUCCCCUCGUCUCUCUCUCUCUCUCAAAGCACGGCGAAUGAAGACUACUGAAGAGUGUGUUUCAGGGGAUCAGAUCAUCCUCAACCUCCCAAAGAAUCAACUUUUAACAGGGGAAUUAGGGUUUUUAAUUUCGAAGAUGAGUGCCAAAACUUCUUCUGUCUUGAUCAGAUUGUUGUCCGUAUUUCCAUCACUUUUUCUUUUCUUUAUUGUUCGAUUUUGUUAGAAUCAAACAAUCGAUUUUUCAAUUCGUUUCAGGUUCCAGGUAAUGUUUGUUCUUGAUUUGGCAAACAUGACAAUAAAGCUCGGCAGUGGCCUCCGUCAGGUUUCAUCAAAUAUCUCUGCCAUGAGUAUAGGUGGCAAAUUAAGUUACUCCAAGCCUAAUAAGUAUUGGGUCGAAAGUUCUCAUAAACGGGUGAGCUCACUUCAUUAUGAGAUGAUGAUUCAGUCUUUGCCUUUUUGGUUUGAGCUUGUUGUGGAUUGUUUUGUCUCUGCACGGUUGGUUCUGUUUUGUUGAUUAUCUGUGUAAAGUCUCAAUUAUGUGUGGCCCAUAAUGGUAAAUUUGUAGUAAAUGGGUAUAGCAUGCUCAAGUGAGUGAAAAGGCGCUACAAAUCAUGUGUACCAUCAUGGUUUUCACAUCUUGUCUGAGUUUAAGGUUCUGUUUAUGUAAUGAGUUUGAGAUUCUGUUCUUGUUUAAGUUUGAGUCUUUCCUCAUGUCAAAAGAGUUGGAUACAGUGCAAUUCAGUUGAUUGGUAUCCCAGCGCACAAAGAUUGAUGAAGCGCAUGGCCUAGGACUUCUUGUCUUUUUGGACAUCGUGCAUUCUUAUGCAGCCGCUGAUCAGAUGAGUAUCAAGCUGAUGGUUACCAAUUUCACUCGCUUGCUUCAAUUAUUUACACGCACAAUGGUUUUGCUUCUUUUAACAACGAUUUGGACGACAGCUAUUGCAAUCAUUAUGUUGACUGAGAUACUUUGAUGUACCUCAUUUUGGCCAAUGAAAUUCUGCACGUUCUACAGCUGUUGCAAGUGUUAGUUAGUAAAAUUACUUAAGUGAAAUAUCAAUGUGUUUUUCAAAUAUGAUGUAUAUAGAUAAAAAGGUGUGUGAGAGAGUAACAUGUAAUGAGUUUAAGGUUCUGUUUGUGUAUUACAUUUUUUUUUUAAGAAUCCCAAAUUUAACAACCAUCAAUGGACUCAUGAUAUUUUAAAGUUU